CCCUCGAUAGCUCAGUUGGCAGACGUAGGACUGUAGAUGUUACAACGGUGAUCCUUAGGUCGCUGGUUCAAAUCCGGCUCGAGGGA
rnacentral:tRNA from 1 species